AAGACCUUGCGCUUUUGGAGCGGCCGAUGUCUGGUUAGCUUGUUGGUGAGGUAAAAGCUUACCAAGGCUUCGAUCAGUAGCUGGUCUGAGAGGACGGCCAGCCACACUGGGACUGAGACACGGCCCAGACUCCUACGGGAGGCAGCAGUGGGGAAUUUUGGACAAUGGGGGCAACCCUGAUCCAGCCAUGCCGCGUGAGUGAAGAAGGCCUUCGGGUUGUAAAGCUCUUUCAGCCGGAACGAAACGGUUACGGUUAAUACCCGUGAUUACUGGCGGUACCGGAAGAAGAAGCACCGGCUAACUACGUGCCAGCAGCCGCGGUAAUACGUAGGGUGCGAGCGUUAAUCGGAAUUACUGGGCGUAAAGCGUGCGCAGGUGGUUUUGUAAGUCAGAUGUGAAAGCCCCGGGCUCAACCUGGGAACU
rnacentral:rRNA from 1 species